rnacentral:rRNA from 1 species
UACGUAGGGACCGAGCGUUGUCCGGAAUCAUUGGGCGUAAAGAGCGUGUAGGCGGUCAUUUAAGUCCUGCGUGAAAUCCUGCGGCUCAACCGCAGACGGUCGUGGGAAACUGGAUGGCUAGAGUGCGGGAGAGGAGAGUGGAAUUCCCGGUGUAGCGGUGAAAUGCGCAGAUAUCGGGAGGAACACCCGUGGCGAAGGCGGCUCUCUGGAACGCAACUGACGCUGAGACGCGAAAGCGUGGGGAGCAAACAGG